UACGGAGGGUGCAAGCGUUAUCCGGAUUCACUGGGUUUAAAGGGUGCGUAGGUGGGUCUGUAAGUCCGUGGUGAAAUCUCUAGGCUUAACCUGGAAACUGCCAUGGAUACUAUAGGUCUUGAAUACUGUGGAGGUCAGCGGAAUAUGUCAUGUAGCGGUGAAAUGCUUAGAUAUGACAUAGAACACCAAUUGCGAAGGCAGCUGGCUACACAAAUAUUGACACUGAGGCACGAAAGCGUGGGGAUCAAACAAG
rnacentral:rRNA from 1 species